AGUCUGUGCUGUCACACACCGCGCCAGAGCGUUUGCUCGGCAGGAUCUGCGAGCAGGAAGCCCCUCGCAGGCACGGGGCAGGAACGCGAGGCUCCCCACGGCUCUCACAUCCCCGGGUCAGCCGAGUCUUCAGAUUGGGAGAAGGUCUAGCAGAUGCUCUAGAACUUGAGCAUCAAGACUGGGUUGAGAUGCUGCCAUUGGUGAACAUGGCAAGCAUGCAAACAGUACAACCAGAAAUCCUUGGGCUCCUGCAAAAGUUAAAGGUAUCAAGUCAUGUAUAUAAAAAAUGACACAUAAGUACCUUGUUAUCCCAUCUGCUUCUGUGCCUGUAAAUUCUGAAGCUCAGCAGCAGGUAACAAGGACCAUCUUCCUUUGUACAUAAUUCUAGGUGUAAUUAAAGAUACUCCUGAAACCUGCUAUGUGUCAGCUUCUUAACGGAUAGAGCCCUCACCCCCCUGAAGUACUCUGCUGCCAUCCAUUACAAUUCUGCUUCAGUGAUAAGCAUGCUCAUGGCUCAAGAACACAGCCGCUCACCCUUCUGCAAGCACAGGACAGAAAGAAGUCCUGCUAUCAUCUCUUGUACCCCUCGCCUGGCUCCAGCUUCCCAGAGGCACGAACGGAUUCAAGAGUCUGUUGGAUUUUUGGUGGAGUUUGGUGUUUUCUUGCACUGAUACACGAUUGAGCUUCUCAUGACAGCAAAGGAAAAUGACUCAAUAAUUGAAAAUAGUAGCAAUUUUACUGAAGGUUCAGGGAACAAGCUAUUUGCAUGACCGCGGUACAGCUAAAGGAGACGUGCACCGCCUAAAAUAUUUCUUUCAAAAUAGUCCGAAAAGAUGUUCUCAGUGCUGCACAAACCUAUGAUUGCAGUGAAACAACAAGCGAAACAAAACAAUCCCUGCAGAAAUAUUUCAGCUACUCCAACUCACACUGGCCACCACUAGAGCCUGGAGAGAGGGGAGGCAGGAAAGAAAAAGGCAAGUCCUAAAUCCAGACAGAAAUCUGACGCUUUGUUAUAAUAUAUGCCUGGGAGGGUUAUUUUCUGCC